GAUGAACGCUGGCGGCGUGCUUAACACAUGCAAGUCGAACGAUGAAGCCCAGCUUGCCGGGUGGAUUAGUGGCGAACGGGUGAGUAACACGUGAGUAACCUGCCCUUAACUCUGGGAUAAGCCUGGGAAACUGGGUCUAAUACCGGAUAGGAGCGUCCACCGCAUGGUGGGUGUUAGAAAGAUUUAUCGGUUUUGGAUGGACUCGCGGCCUAUCAGCUUGUUGGUGAGGUAAUGGCUCACCAAGGCGACGACGGGUAGCCGGCCUGAGAGGGUGACCGGCCACACUGGGACUGAGACACGGCCCAGACUCCUACGGGAGGCAGCAGUGGGGAAUAUUGCACAAUGGGCGCAAGCCUGAUGCAGCGACGCCGCGUGAGGGAUGACGGCCUUCGGGUUGUAAACCUCUUUCAGUAGGGAAGAAGCGAAAGUGACGGUACCUGCAGAAGAAGCACCGGCUAACUACGUG
rnacentral:rRNA from 1 species